AACGUAGGACGCAAGCGUUAUCCGGAGUUACUGGGCGUAAAGCGCGCGCAGGCGGUUCUGCCAGUCUGAUGUGAAAUCUCCUCGCUCAACGGGGAGCAGCCAUUGGAAACUACAGAACUGGAGUCUGACAGAGGUAGGCGGAAUUCCGGGUGGAGUGGUGAAAUGCGUAGAGAUCCGGAGGAACACCAGAGGCGAAGGCGGCCUACUGGGUCAGUACUGACGCUGAGCCGCGAAAGCCAGGGGAGCGAACGGG
rnacentral:rRNA from 1 species